GGAAGCUUCCUUAGUAAAGGCAAAACAGAAUCAAUCACAAAGAUUAUACUCUCCAAAAGCUGGGCAGCAACUCGAUUAUCAGCCUGACUCUUCAAAUAAGGUUGUAGCGUGAUCACAAACUGGGAAGGAUCAGAAGCUGGUGCACAUAGAGUAGGAUCAACAACACAAAAGGCAUGCAAGAGCCUCAUGUAUGGUAGCAUAAGCACCUCUCCUUCUCCCGUAUUCAUCUCUAUCACCUGCAGUAUUUUCUCAAGUAAGCACUUGCACAUCAACUCGCAGCGCCUACGGACUGAGGCAAGGGACGCGGGGUUGAUACCGAC
rnacentral:misc_RNA from 1 species